AAGGAAAAAAAAAAAAAAAAGAAAGACAUCCAGAGGAGGAGUGGGCAUCCAGAUUCGACCCCUGGCCCAGCACAGUGGGUGAGGGAUCCAGUGUUGCCAUAACUAGAGUUUACGUCAUGACUGUGGCUCCCAUUUGAUCUCUGGCCCAGGAGCUUCAUAUUCGGCGGGGUAGCCAGAAAUGACCGAAAAAAAGGGGGACUUGACCAGCGCAGCUUAGUUCUGGAUAUCUAGCCCUUUAGAGAGGACUCAAAGAAAGCCUCAGUGGGUGAGCUACAGAGGGUGUUAAAAUGGAAAUUUUCAGCGGGGCACGAGGUCACACGAGAGGUUGCACGCUAAACCACUAAGUUGAGGGGUCAGGCCAAAAAACGAAGAAGUGACAAAACAACCAUUUGAGAGCCCAUUCUAUGACUCUGGGCACCCUUGGAUUUUAAAAUGUGACCAGCGUCCCUGGGAGGGGAAAGGGCAUGGACAUGCAUCGUGAAAAAGGGGAAGAGGAAGAGAGAGCGCUCUGCUGUCCAGGAAGGGGGCUGACGGCCUUCCUGUCCUCCCUGGUCGAUGGAAGGUACUGGACAUUCUGCAGCCCCAGCCAGCCUGGGCCAGAAAGAUCAGAACAGAAAGAGGGCAGCCCAGCAGCGAUAACCAUGCAGGGUGGAUACCAGAAAACCAGACAACCAGAAGCUGAGGGUGAGGCCUGGACUUGCCUGUGAAAGGAAAGUGUGCAAAAGGCCAGGGAUAGAGCAGCUUCACGACUGUUCCGGUUGGAGGACUCAACCUGGGAAAGCCUGAGGAGCCCACAGAAGGCACCCCACAGAAGAGACGUCAUCAGUGUCCACCCUGUCCCAGCAGUGAAACAAGGUUCUUCUGAGAAUCAAGAUAACGAAUGUUGAAAGCACAACAUGAUACACAAGUUAGAGCCUUGUUUAAAAUCGUAACUGACACGAACUGCAGCGGAACUAACAGCGUGCAGUCCUGGCCUCCCACCAGGAGCCUGGAGUGUUUCAGCAGGAGGCUACUUCUGUGUGGGGGAGGACACACGACCCAGCCCCUCAAUUCUCCCUGUGCUCGCAGUUAAAAGCAAAGGGCUGGCGGUGGGAAUGGGGUGGGGCUUGCUGGCAGACGAAGCUCACUGAAAAUCUGCUUUGAUGGGGAGUGAAAAUUCCAUGAUGAAAAACAACCCAUGCCCUCCUUGAAUUCUAGGAAGCAAAUUGGAAACAGCUUCUCUGAAAAGCCGCGAGAGGCCGACGGGAGGAGAGAGGGGUUGGCAGCCGCUCCUCUCAUGGUACUCGCCCAACCAGCCCCCCUUUCCUGGGAUCGGGAGACCGAUGCCCCUUUGGAAACGCUCCAGACCUGAGUCUAAAUACAGAGGAUUGAAAGUCAUGGGGCCUACUUGCCAAGAGGCCUCAGAAACUAUGUUAUCUGCUGUUUCCUUCUUCCCCCAACUCUGCUUCUGACUCAGUCUGGAAAGAGGUACCAGGCCAAACGGUGACCUAAACAGGAUCUCGCGAAGUUUGUCUCGCGAGAUUUGUCUCGCGGCACUCUGGGCCAGCACGCCGGAAGUCAGCCUCGCUGCUCCUGAGGUACCGCCGCCAAGCUACGCCUCCUGGCAGACUCACCAGCACGCGUUGCGUGUGGUGGGGUGGACGGGGAACCCACCCUCUGGGCCCUGGGCCGCUUCUUCUUGUACAUCAGCUGCCCUGGCAGUGAGGGCCAGAGUCAGGCUCCCGGCCGCUGAAGCCAAAGCCGUCAAGCUUCGAAGCUGCGCACUGCUGUCCGCCGCCGUGGAGACCGAGGACCGCAGUGAGAAGCAUGCAGCCCAUGUGUGGCGUGUGAGGACCGAUGAAAGAGGCUCCAGGGUGUUCAGAACCCUGAAUCCAGCUUCUCCUGAGGGCUGGCCUCCAAGCGGCGGACCAGAGCGCUGCCCAAGGAGUAGGAUGUGAGCCAUCUGUGUCAUUUUAAGUGGUCCCAUUGCCACGUGAAAAAGGUGCGGCCCUGUGAAGAAAAAAAAGAAAAAGAAAAAAAGUUCCAGCCCAAAGUUCCAGCAUUCAAAAGUAUGGAAAGGAAUGAAUUUUCUAUGAGACUUCUGGAUGCUUUAUUAAAGCCAGGCAGCAAGAAGAAUCGAUAUGGAUUUUCCCAUCAAUAAUCAUCAGCAAGAAUCUGAGAGAAUAUAUCAGCAGUGUCUAUCUUGGGUGACUGUCUGUGACCAGUUAUUACUGUCCAAGGAAGGAGGCCAUGGGGUCAUCUGGCCUCUGACGUUUCAUUCUGUAGGCCUCCAUUUCCUCUUCAGUGGGUUCCCGAGUUUCAUAUACGCUGUUGUAAGGCCGCUUCCUCUCAUCGAUCUGCAUGAUCUCCUUGACAUGAAGAAGGCGGGCCUCCUCUGCAUUCAGUGCCUGCAGUGAGAAGAAAGACAUGAGGACCAUGACUCUUCAUCAGAUCUCUUUUGUUCAAAGGUGGCAGAGUACCAAAAGACCCCACUGACUAUGAAUUACUACAUCAAAAACCUAGAUUGCCUGAAAGAGCUUGGCAGUCAGCCCUUUUGCUAUCAAGCUACAACUAAUCACUAUUUGACUCAUAUAUUUUCAUAAAGCACAAAACAUUCCAUGACAUUUUCAAUGUUAAAGAAAUUUUAUUUAACAACAAAAACUGAUGUACAUUUUACUGACAGAAGCUGGCAACUGAUGCAAUUCUGAAUUUUCUCAAGACAGACUUGCUGACACGAAUUAUAGAGCUAGAAGACAACUUUCUCUGGGCAACAUGUCAAUAGCUCUAAAGUAACAGCUAUACCAAGCACUUUUCUUCUGUGCAUUAGUGACACUUAACAAAUAGUUCAAGAAGCAGGCACGCCAAGUCACACAAAGUCUCUGUUGAUUUUCUAGACCUGAUAGGUGACGUCAGCAACUUUUCCAAGGUUGGGGCUCAUUUGCUCAUUUUAAAAAUGAGCCUGGGAAGAGGACUUGACAAUUUUCUAAGGUCCUUACAAAUAAAGAAUACUGAGUCACUUGUA